rnacentral:rRNA from 1 species
AAAAUCAGGAGAUUUGGAAGAACUACCAAACGGUGGAACUCCAAUGAGGAAGCUAAUCUUAGAAGAUACAAAAGGCUUCUCCUCCUUGAGUUUGAUUCUCUAGAUAUUACGGCAGAAACCAGUGACCUCUCUGAGGCUGAGACUAAUAGAUUGAACUUUGUGCAUGGAGAGCUCAAGAAAAUUUGGCUUCUAGAAGAAAUCAAAGCCAAACAAAGGUCUAGAGAUAGGAACAUUAAGGAGGGUGAUAGAAAUACUGCUUACUUCCAUGCAGUAGCUAACCAGAGGAGGAGGAAAAUCGUCAUUCACUCCCUUGAUGGCCCUAAUGGCCCUGUUACUGAGGUAGAUGAGAUGCUGAAAGUGGCUAGUAACUUCUACAAAGACCUGUUUAAGAAAGAAAACCCUUCUGGGUUCUCUCUACAAAACAUUUUUUUCUCUGCUUCUGAAAAAGUCUCUCCUGCUAAAAAUGAGCUCCUAGAAGCCCCCUUUUCAGAGACAGAGGUGAAGGAAGCCAUUUUUAGCUCUUAUCCUGAUGGGGCUCCUGGUCCUGAUGGGAUUCCCUUCUUGUUUUACCAGCAUUUUUGGGACUUGGUGAAAGAUGAUCUCUUAGAUCUUUUCCAAGCCUUUCAUAGAGGAGAGUUGGAUCCAGCAACUUACUCAUGGGGGGUCUAUUGGGGUCAAGUUAAAUAA